UACGUAGGGGGCAAGCGUUGUCCGGAUUUAUUGGGCGUAAAGAGCGUGUAGGCGGCCAUACAGGUCAGCUGUGAAAACUCGAGGCUCAACCUCGAGAUGUCGGCGGAAACCACUUGGCUAGAGUCCGGAAGAGGAGAGUGGAAUUCCCGGUGUAGUGGUGAAAUGCGUAGAGCUCGGGAGGAACACCCGUGGCGUAGGCGGCCCCCUGGGCCGCGCCUGACGCUGAGACGCGAAAGCGUGGGGAGCGAACGGG
rnacentral:rRNA from 1 species